AUGGUGGGAACUCACGGGGGACCGCCGGGGUUAACUCGGAGGAAGGUGGGGAUGACGUCAGAUCAUCAUGCCCCUUACGUCCAGGGCUUCACGCAUGCUACAAUGGCCGGUACAGCGGGAUGCGAUGCGGUGACGCGGAGCGGAUCCCUGAAAACCGGUCUCAGUUCGGAUCGGAGCCUGCAACUCGGCUCCGUGAAGGUGGAGUCGCUAGUAAUCGCGGAUCAGCAACGCCGCGGUGAAUGCGUUCCCGGGCCUUGUACACACCGCCCGUCAAGUCAUGAAAGUGGGUAGCACCCGAAGCCGGUGGCCUAACCCUUGUGGGGGGAGCCGUCUAAGGUGAGACUCGUGAUUGGGACUAAGUCGUAACAAGGUAGCCGUACCGGAAGGUGCGGCUGGAUCACCUCCUUUCUACGGAG
rnacentral:rRNA from 1 species